AACAGUCUAGAAACUUGAUUAUGCUCUUGCCGCACAGAUACUGACAGAGCACUAUGAUCAGCUUGUUUCCUCCGUAAUGCUGUAUCUUAAGCUAUAUCCCUGAAGUCCUCAGUUUCCACUGAUUUGGAGUGAAAGAGAUUUUUCCUCUCCAGAUUGCUGUGAACAGCACUGCCAUUAGGCCUUGACAAGAAGAGACCUACCUCAGGAUUCAAGCUUUAGGAGCCCAUACAAGGGGAGUGCCUUCCUUAAAUUUUUGAAGUCCCACUUUGAUGGCCAGGAGUGGCCUGAUCUGAUAGUGUUGUAGGAACAGGGCCAGUAAGCCUGGAUUCAGACCUUUUGAGAUCUCAUUCUUGGGUUCCACUAGAUGUCCCUAUCAGAAACUCAUAUCCAUAGUCAUCCCAGGACCUGUGGCCAGUUCUCAGUUCUAAGAGGAAAGUCUGGAACCUCCCAGAUUGUCAGUGUAGUAUUUUCUUUAAAAGACCAUGUGAGAUCCAUCCACCAAAAUGGCGUGAAGAAGAUGAUUUUUUCUCACUCAUAUAUGUUAUGCAAUAAAAACCUCUCCAUAAUAAGAAAGGUUCAAGGCUCUGAGCUUGGUCCACUCUUCAUGUAGUAUGGACCAAUGUUUCAGCUUUCAUUAAUCUGUGCUAGCACAUCUAGUCUAUAGCCCUCUAAGGCAGCAAUUUUUGUGGCAGAUAUUAUUUAUGCUGUGUUUCCCCUACUUCUGACAUAUAGGUGGUCAUUCCACUCUUCUGUUAAUGUCAUGUUCGGUUCAGGGAGUCCUCCAUGGAUGGCCAUGCCUUUCUCUCCAAGAGCUUUGGUGAACUCUACCCAAUCUGAACAGGUCUUUCGAUUCUUGCACUUUUUUGCCCCUAAUCAAGAGAGUACUAAUGUACUCUCUCUGAUGUUAUAAAUGGAAUAGACAUUCCUUACACAGAUGUAACACUUUCACUCUGACCAUGGACUUCUCAUCUUUCCUCCCUACUAGUGGCAAUAUGUGGAAGACAGGGGUGCAUCAUUUAUAUUUUUCUGCACACCCUGGGUAAAACUUGCAUUCAAAGUCAUUAUCAACAAAGAACAGUGACAAUACUUGAGACAGUCAUUAGAAACCAGUGCUCAUGGGUGGCUCAGUGGAUGGUGCAGUGUCAUGAGCCAUGAGGUAACCAGCAUUAAGUAAACAGUACUAGAGAAAUGCAGAGGCAAAAAUGUCCAGAGUUAUGGCAUUGUGAUUUAUAACAGUGUUGCUGCCUCUUAUUGCCGUUAGUGAAAUUAGCUAGAAACAGUGCAUUAUUUUGAUUAUUAUUACAGAUAGAGAUGGUUCCUGGACACUAUGAAGAGUCAUUAUUGACUGGUCAAUAAUGAAUAAUGUAAGCUUUCUUUCUUUUUUAAUUAUAAAUAAUAAUCAAUAAGUCACUAUACCUUAAUGAGCCCAUGAAUUUUAUAAGUCCCUUUUAAAUCAAAUUAUAUAUAUAUAUAGGAAUCCCAUACACACAAAAAAAUAUUUGCCCUGAGCCCCACAUACCCUAGGAAUAGCUCAGGCUAUGAAAGCUAGUUCAUAUAUUUUAUCAAAUGGUUUGAAUUGGAAGAAUCUAUUGAACAAUGAUAUUAGGGUUUCAAUUUUCUGUAUUUGACAUAGUAUAUUUAUAGAUUAAUAAUUAAAGAGAUCAGUUAAAAGAAAGAUU